CACAUGCAAGUCGAGCGGAUGAAGGGAGCUUGCUCCUGGAUUCAGCGGCGGACGGGUGAGUAAUGCCUAGGAAUCUGCCUGGUAGUGGGGGAUAACGUCCGGAAACGGGCGCUAAUACCGCAUACGUCCUGAGGGAGAAAGUGGGGAUCUUCGGACCUCACGCUAUCAGAUGAGCCUAGGUCGGAUUAGCUAAUUGGUGGGGUAAAGGCCUACCAAGGCGACGAUCCGUAACUGGUCUGAGAGGAUGAUCAGUCACACUGGAACUGAGACACGGUCCAGACUCCUACGGGAGGCAGCAGUGGGGAAUAUUGGACAAUGGGCGAAAGCCUGAUCCAGCCAUGCCACGUGUGUGAAGAAGGUCUUCGGAUUGUAAAGCACUUUAAGUUGGGAGGAAGGGCAGUAAGUUAAUACCUUGCUGUUUUGACGUUACCAACAGAAUAAGCACCGGCUAACUUCGUGCCAGCAGCCGCGGUAAUACGAAGGGUGCAAGCGUUAAUCGGAAUUACUGGGCGCAAAGCGCGCGUAGGUGGUUCAGCAAGUUGGAUGUGAAAUCCCCGGGCUCAACCUGGGAACUGCAUCCAAAACUACUGAGCUAGAGUACGGUAGAGGGUGGUGGAAUUUCCUGUGUAGCGGUGAAAUGCGUAGAUAUAGGAAGGAACACCAGUGGCGAAGGCGACCACCUGGACUGAUACUGACACUGAGGUGCGAAAGCGUGGGGAGCAAACAGGAUUAGAUACCCUGGUAGUCCACGCCGUAAACGAUGUCGACUUGGAGGUUGUGCCCUUGAGGCGUGGCUUCCGGAGCUAACGCGUUAAGUCGACCGCCUGGGGAGUACGGCCGCAAGGUUAAAACUCAAAUGAAUUGACGGGGGCCCGCACAAGCGGUGGAGCAUGUGGUUUAAUUCGAUGCAACGCGAAGAACCUUACCUGGUCUUGACAUCCACGGAAGUCUUCAGAGAUGAGAAUGUGCCUUCGGGAACCGUGAGACAGGUGCUGCAUGGCUGUCGUCAGCUCGUGUUGUGAAAUGUUGGGUUAAGUCCCGCAACGAGCGCAACCCUUAUCCUUUGUUGCCAGCGGUCCGGCCGGGAACUCAAAGGAGACUGCCAGUGAUAAACUGGAGGAAGGUGGGGAUGACGUCAAGUCAUCAUGGCCCUUACGACCAGGGCUACACACGUGCUACAAUGGCGCAUACAAAGAGAAGCGACCUCGCGAGAGCAAGCGGACCUCAUAAAGUGCGUCGUAGUCCGGAUUGGAGUCUGCAACUCGACUCCAUGAAGUCGGAAUCGCUAGUAAUCGUGGAUCAGAAUGCCACGGUGAAUACGUUCCCGGGCCUUGUACACACCGCCCGUCACACCACGAGAGUUUGUAACACCCGAAGUCGGUGAGGUAACCUUUUAGGAGCCAGCCGCCGAAGGUGGGACA
rnacentral:rRNA from 1 species